AGGCUUGAGACUUCAAGAUAUAAACUCUCAGCUUCCUAUUCUACCCUCCAAGCCUCCUGCCCGCUGCCUGCAGUCCCUAGUAUUAUGGACUCAGCCCUGUGGAACUGCUCUUAGUAGAUGGGACCAUGAGUCCACACUGGUGGUAACUGAUUGUCCUUGGCUUUCAUGGGAAUCUUUCCUUUAACGACCAUCAGUGGAAGAAAUAGACAUUGAGAUGAGAUGGAUGGAAAAAAAAAACAUGAAAUUGAAAGGCAACGUAUUGAAAAUAUUCCAUCCUAGUUUGCUCAGAUAAAAACUAAGACGUGCCUUGACGAAUGCUUAACUCCUGAUAUGCCAAACUACCACUGGGUUCAGUUACCUCACAUAACUUGGGAAUAUUUUCUCUCAAGUCUCUUCAACG